rnacentral:rRNA from 1 species
AGUGAACGCUGGCGGUAGGCCUAACACAUGCAAGUCGAACGGCAGCACAGUAAGAGCUUGCUCUUACGGGUGGCGAGUGGCGGACGGGUGAGGAAUACAUCGGAAUCUACUUUUUCGUGGGGGAUAACGUAGGGAAACUUACGCUAAUACCGCAUACGACCUACGGGUGAAAGCAGGGGAUCUUCGGACCUUGCGCGAUUGAAUGAGCCGAUGUCGGAUUAGCUAGUUGGCGGGGUAAAGGCCCACCAAGGCGACGAUCCGUAGCUGGUCUGAGAGGAUGAUCAGCCACACUGGAACUGAGACACGGUCCAGACUCCUACGGGAGGCAGCAGUGGGGAAUAUUGGGCAAUGGGCGCAAGCCUGAUCCAGCCAUACCGCGUGGGUGAAGAAGGCCUUCGGGUUGUAAAGCCCUUUUGUUGGGAAAGAAAAGCAGCAGGUUAAUACCCCGCUGUCCUGACGGUACCCAAAGAAUAAGCACCGGCUAACUUCGUG